GAUGAUCAUCAGGGAAAUGCAAAUUCAAACUACAAUGAGAUAUCACCUCACCCCUGUCAGAAAGGCUAAAAUCAACAACACAGGAAAUGACAUGUGUCAGUGUGGAUGUAGAGAAGGAGGAACCCUCUUACACUGUUGGUGGGAAUGCAAACUGGUGCCUCCACUCUGGGAAACAGUAUGGAGUUUCUUCAAAAACUUUAAAAAUAUAAGUACCCUGUGACUCGGCAAUUGCAUUUCUAGGUAUUUACCCAAGGAACACAAAAAUAGUAUUUCAGAAGAAUAUGGGCACCCAGAUGUUUAUAGCUGCAUUACCUAUAAUAGCCAAAUUUGCAAACAACUUAAGUGUCCAUUGACCAAUGCAUGGACAAAGAAAUGCAUAUAUAAGUAUCAUAUACAAUGGAAUAUUACUACACCAUAAAAAGAAAACAAACAACAACAACAACAACAACAAUGGAUUCUUGUUAUUAGCAAGCUCAUAUGACUGAGCUAGAGGGUAUGAGGCUAAGCGAAAGAAGCCAGUGAGAAAAAAAGACAAACACCAUGUGAUUUCACUCAUAUGUGGAAUUCAAGAAAGAAAACCAAUUAGGAAAAUGACGAAAAAGAGAAAGAGGCAAAUCCAAACACAGACUCUUAAGUAUUGACAACAAACUGAUGGUUACCAAGAGGGAGGUCAGUGGGGAAUGGAGUAAAUAGGUGAUGGGGAUUAAGAAAUGAACUCGUAAUGAUCACUGUGUGAUGCAUGGAAAUUUUGAGUCACUAUAUGGUAUGUAUGAAACUAUAUUUCACUAUAUGUAAACUAACUGGAAUUUAAAUAAAAAUUAAAAAAUAUAUAAAUGGUUUUCAGGUCUCACAUUUAGGUCUUAAGUACAUUUUGAUGUUAUUUUAUAUAUAUUUAAGAAAUAACGAAGGUCCUUUCUUUUGCAUGUAUCUGUUCAAUUUUCUAAUGGUGUAAAUAUAUUGACCAUACAAGUGUGGGUCUCUAUUCAGUUUCAUUAAUCUAUGUAAAUGUGCCAAUACCAUGAUGUUUUGUGUUUUUUAUCAUUGUAGUGUACCUUGAAAUCUGAGAUUGUGAUGCCACCAGCUUUGUUCUUUUUUUUUCGAAAUUGCUUUCUAUUUGGAUUUGUUUGUAGUUCCAUUCAAAUAUUAGUAUUUUUUAUUCUACUUUUGUGAAAAAAAAACGCGAUUAGCAUUUUGAUAAGGAGUCCAUUGUAUCUCUAGGUUACUCUGGUCAUAUAUAUAUUUUAUCAAUAUUAAUUCUUCCAUUCAUGAGGAUCGUAUAACUUCCCAUAUGUUUGUGACAUUUGUCAUUAUUUUGUUGUUUGUUUGUUUGUUUAAAUGGUAUUGUUACUACCAAAAGGAAAUUUUCACUGAACACAAUUUAAAAAUUUUCAAUUGGGCUUCUCACACCCUCACAGGUUCAAGACACAUGAUGGUGAAUGAUUUUUGGAUUUAAGUUACACUGAAAAAGAAGUAGUCUUAGGUAGAUUAUAAGAAGGUAUUCUCAUUUGAAAAUAAAUAUAAGUAUAGACUUUCAGUCGCCGUGUUUGCAAAUAUCCGCUCUCUGACAUUAAACUUCCAUCAUUCUUGCUGUUUCUAGAGAAUUUUUUCCUCUAAGCAAUUAGAAGUGAAGGAAAUAUACAUUUCAUUUUUACAUUUUCAACAUUAAUUACAAAAUAUUUCAGAUUACAAAGUGUUCAAAAUAUAUAUAGUCUUAAUCCCCAUCACCCAUUUUAUCCAAUCUCCCACCCACCUCUUCUCUGGUGUCCCAACAGUUUGUUUCCGAGACUUAAAAGUCUGUUUGUUGGACUGUUUCUCCUUUCCUCCUUUUAUUAAUUUGCUUGGUUUCUUAAAUGCUGCAUAUGAGUGAAAUAAAAUGGAAUUUGCCUUUUCUGGGUUAUUUUUCUUAGCAUUAUACUGUUUAAAGAAGAAGGAAAUCUUGCCAUUUGCAAUAACAGGAUGGAUCUAGAGAAUAUAGUGCAUAUAUCCCAUCCUAUGAAAAUGCUUUCUACUCCCUAAAAGUCAUGAGCAGAGGACAACCCGGGACUUGGAGGACUGAGGACCUUGGUUUGCAGAUUGUGGCAGAGCAGUGGAUGUCAGUGUGGGGACCAUGGUCACAAGCCUCCUUGCUGGAGUCUCAGCUCCUCCUUAGGAAGUGUUUCCAAGGCAGUGCUGAAUGCAGGAGUAUACCUCAUGAGUAACCUAAACACCAGGACAGGGGUGGGAGACAGGGCACCAGGGAGGAUUCUGAGAAUUCUCACAUGGAACCUGAAUCCCACAAGCUCUAUUCAUGUGGAGAUGCAGAGACAGUCUGAGGCAGAGACAAAGCAUGGACCCAGGAGAGAGGAAACCAGGAAAAACCACAGACCCGCAUAAAGCAACUUGGAAAUGACACCCCACCAUUCUCUUCUAUCCCUUAGAACAAAGUCACAUGGGGCACCCACCCAGGAGGGGAGGGUAUGACAGGAAUGUGUGACCAGGAUUCAGGAAUGCUGGGAGACACUAUAGGGACUGCCCAUAACAUUGGCCCAGAGGAGGCACUGGGACUUGAGCCCAAAUAUCGUGGGAGAGGCCCUGUAAGUAUGUCAGGUGGGGACAAGACCUGAAUGAGUUCAUUUCAACUUUCCAACCGGGCCUGGGAACCAGGCAGGAAAGGAUGGCUGUAUCUGGACCCCAGAGCAGACCCAGGCCCUUUUGAGUGUGUUCCAUGCUGUGUUCACCUCUUUCUCACCUUUCCAUGGCUAAGUGUGUGCAUGAGCCUCAUGUGAUAGCAGGUAUGGGGCAUCUCUAUAGGCAGAUCCGCUGGUGGUGUCCCUAGAGUAGAUGCCAGAAUGACCCCACAGUGGAGAUGGCGAGACUGGGGAGGCCCUGAAAAGGACGGAAUAUGUGCAGGGCCACACUUCUGCUUGGGGGAAGGAGCCUGGCCUCAAGCCAGCACUGUAUCCUCAAAGCUGGAGUACUGGCUGCACCCAGGCCUCCUGGGGGCUUUGAGGGAGUUGUGUUGGUGUCCCUGUAUGGACAGGGCAUGGGGUGGAGUGGAGCCCUUUUUCAGCCUGAGGGAGUGGCUGUUGUAUGAGGAGGAAGCCCAGCAAGGGGACCCCAGACAGUGACCUCACUUCCUUGAGAGCAGAGCACAACAGAAUUCAGAACCCAGUAACUAGGCACCCACAUUCUGGAGACAGCGUCCUGCUGGGCUUAUUUGUUUGGAAACCUGCACAUAAGCAACAUGCUCUCCUGCUGUGUGCCCAGGACAUGAGGCUAUUGGCUCAGGAGGGCCAACAGUGACACUGUUUCCCUAUCCUGGUGACACUGUGUCAUGUCUCACACUGGGCACCUCUGGAUUCUAGCUUGGAAAGACCCAACGAGUCAGCUGCAGGAGCAGAAGCCACUGUGUCUCCAGAGCUUGAGGCAACGCCAUCUCUGGCAUCAGCAGCUCUGUAGGGAGAGGCGUUCUUUGGAGGGGCUCCUGCAGGAGUCCAGGAGCCAGAAGAUAAUCUGGCACCUGUGCAGGGACAGCCAGCAACUGUGCAGAGUGAACCAGAUCCUGCUCCAUAUUUUGCCUCUGCUCCUGCCUCUGCUCCUGACCCUAUUCCUGCUCCUAUUCCAGCUCCUGCUCCUGACACUGUUCCUGAUCCUGCCCCUGCUCCUGACAGUGUUUUUGCUCCUGACACUUCCUCCUCCUGCCUCUGCUGCUUCCACUGUUCCUGCUCGUAUUCCAGCUCCUGCCCCUGCCACUGCCUCUGCCCCUCUUCCUGUUCCUACCCCUGCCAUUGUUCUGCCCCUGUCCCCAGCCCUCCCACAGUCCCUGCCCCUGACCUUGCUCCUGCCCUGUUUGUGUCAUUACCCCUGCCCCUGCCCUUGGUCCUGUUCUUGCCUUACCCCUGCCCAACACCCCAGCAGAAUACUUCUUCCACUCCCCAUUAGUGCUUUCCUUCUGCUAUAUUUCAACUAUUAUUUUAUCAUUUUGUGUUUUGUAUAGUCUUUAUUAUUAAUUAAAAAAAAGUUGUUUACAUGA